UACAGAGGGUGCAAGCGUUGUUCGGAAUUAUUGGGCGUAAAGGGCGCGUAGGCGGUUCGGCAAGUCUCUAGUGAAAUCUCUGGGCUCAACUCAGAGUCUGCUGGGGAAACUGCCGGGCUUGAGUGUGGGAGAGGAGAGUGGAAUUCCCGGUGUAGCGGUGAAAAUGCGUAGAUAUCGGGAGGAACACCUGUGGCGAAAGCGGCUCUCUGGACCACAACU
rnacentral:rRNA from 1 species